rnacentral:tRNA from 1 species
GCCUUGGUAGCUUAACAUCAAAGCGCCGGUUUUGUAAUCCGGAGACUGGAGGUUAAAAUCCCCCCCAAAGCC